AAAUGCCAUAGCUGCUGGCUCCUCUGACAGCACGGUGCUGUUAAUCGCCUCCUCUCUGGGGAAACGGCAGGUAUAUCCCCCUCCAGGGACGUGAAUCCAUCUACAGGUAGAUGUGCAGUUUAAUCUACUAAUGAACAAAAGAUGCUGAAGGAUCACUGAAAAAUCAAAACUGCUUCUGCACUAAACAUUCCCGCCAUCCUCUCAAGGAGAAUCCUUGGCCUGCAGAUCGUUCUGACAGCUUACUAAAAACAUUUGAGGUUCCCAGCCCUCGCCUCACUCUCUGCUGACUACUGACGUGCAUUGCUCAGCACAGCUUCCUCUUCCUUAGCAUUUUGCCAUUUGUAAGCUGCCAACAAGGGUGCACUGCUGGUAUUCCACCUCUCCUCCUCGCUCCCACAAGACAUCCAACACCUGGAGGAAUUAAGGGCUGCAACUU